rnacentral:rRNA from 2 species
UACGUAGGCAGCGAGCGUUGUUCGGAGUUACUGGGCGUAAAGAGUGCGUAGGCGGUUUCGUAAGUCUGGUGUGAAAUCUCCCGGCUUAACUGGGAGGGUGCGCCGGAAACUGCGGAGCUGGAGUGUGGGAGAGGCAAGCGGAAUUCCUGGUGUAGCGGUGAAAUGCGUAGAUAUCAGGAGGAACACCUGCGGUGUAGACGGCUUGCUGGACCACUACUGACGCUGAGGCACGAAAGCGUGGGGAGCAAACAGG